UUCUGGUGCUGAGUAGAGCUUCAGCAGAGGCAGUGUUUUGAUUAAAUGCUUCCACCAUAUAUCCAGUGUAAACUGGAGACCUAAAUAUGCAAACUUCUUAAAUUAAAUUCAUUUUUUAGAAGGAAAAACAAACAAACAAACAAACAAAAAAGCACCUCCUUUAAAUUAGUUUUUAAUUUAAGCAGCAAAAUCCUAGUGUAACUGAUUUAAAUUAAAACUCAGUUAUUGUGUAGUUCUUAUCUUUAUGUUGUAUUAAGAGGGUACAGUGAGAUACUAUUGUCUUGGAAGAAAAUUGAAACUCUUGCCUAGUUUUAACAUUGUAAAAAGAAACAAAUGGAUUUUAAUAUUUUAAGCAUCUAGACUUGAACAGCAAGUGAAUCUCAUUAAUAUCUGUUGUUCUUUAUUUAGCUGUUCCUCUUGCUGACAUUUCUCCCUGUGGUUUUCAUUUUAACAAACCUUUAUCUUUAAAUACAAAUCCCCAGGACAAAUGCAAGAGUGGAUGGAUUUGAUACAAAUCUAAAAGUACACAUAUCUGUCAUUUGGGCUGAAACCUAAAUAAAUCUUACAAAUUAUGCAGUGGAACAUAAGAUUAAUUUCUGAGUUUCGAGGUUCUACUUUGCUAAAAUACCUUGUGUGAAAAAGAGAAGAAAAAAUAAAACAGGAUUAUAAAAAUUAGGUCAAGUGAAUCUGGGAUUUCAAACAUUUAUAUCCAUCACUCAUGGUUGCAUGGUUAUUUCAUGGGGUCAUUACACUGCUAAACAGCAAAACUUAUGUUGUUUUGACUGUGUGUUUUUGUAUCUUAAUAUAUUUGGAAGUCUUUCAAGUUCAACACUAGAACUGAUAUACAUAAUUUUAUAGUGCUUAUUUCAGUUCCACUACAUCCUGUAUUUUGGUGCUCUCAUCGGAAGAAUCUGUUGACUUCUUAUUAAUACCCUCAAACUAAUUUAAUGGAGAUUCUACAGAUUUCGUCCUUCAAUAUGACCUCAGCAAUUGGAUAUUUGGUCAAACUACUGCCAUAUUCUUCCUUCAAGCCACUAUGCUAUGAAGAGGCAUUCACCCUGCAUAGCACAGAGCCAUCUAGACCUUUUCAGAUAAACCUGGAUCACCUCAGACCCUCAGAGGGAAAAUCUUCAUGUGAAAGCCUAGAAAGUUCUCCAAAAAAGGGACGCUGA
rnacentral:lncRNA from 1 species